GUUGACCUCGGAUCAGGUAGGAAUACCCGCUGAACUUAAGCAUAUCAAUAAGCGGAGGAAAAGAAACCAACAGGGAUUACCCUAGUAACGGCGAGUGAAGCGGUAACAGCUCAAAUUUGAAAUCUGACCUUCACGGGUCCGAGUUGUAAUUUGUAGAGGAUGUUUCGGAUAAGGCUUUGGUUUAAGUUUCUUGGAACAGAACGUCAUAGAGGGUGAGAGUCCCGUCUAGAACCGAUAGCCGCGUUCAUGUGAAACUCCUUCGACGAGUCGAGUUGUUUGGGAAUGCAGCUCAAAAUGGGUGGUAAAUUUCAUCUAAAGCUAAAUAUUGGCCAGAGACCGAUAGCGCACAAGUAGAGUGAUCGAAAGAUGAAAAGCACUUUGAAAAGAGAGUUAAACAGUAUGUGAAAUUGUUGAAAGGGAAGCGCUUGCAACCAGACUUGUGUUUAACGGUUCCCCUGUGUCUUUUGACCAGGCUAUUCCGUUAUAUCCAGGCCAGCAUCGGUUCGGGUGGUUGGUUAAAGGCCUUGGGAAUGUAUCUACCUUCG
rnacentral:rRNA from 1 species